rnacentral:rRNA from 1 species
GAUGAACGCUGGCGGCGUGCCUAAUACAUGCAAGUCGAGCGAACAGACGAGGAGCUUGCUCCUCUGACGUUAGCGGCGGACGGGUGAGUAACACGUGGAUAACCCACCUAUAAGACUGGGAUAACUUCGGGAAACCGGAGCUAAUACCGGAUAACAUGCUGCACCGCGUUGUUCAACAGUGAAAUACGGUCUUGCUGUCACUUAUAGAUGGAUCCGCGCCGCAUUAGCUAGUUGGUAAGGUAACGGCUUACCAAGGCAACGAUGCGUAGCCGACCUGAGAGGGUGAUCGGCCACACUGGAACUGAGACACGGUCCAGACUCCUACGGGAGGCAGCAGUAGGGAAUCUUCCGCAAUGGGCGAAAGCCUGACGGAGCAACGCCGCGUGAGUGAAGAAGGUCUUCGGAUCGUAAAACUCUGUUAUUAGGGAAGAACAAAUGUGUAAGUAACUAUGCACGGCUUGACGGUACCUAAUCAGAAAGCCACGGCUAACUACGUG